rnacentral:rRNA from 1 species
GUUAUCACGGGAGACACACGGCGGGUGCUAACGUCCGUCGUGAAGAGGGAAACAACCCAGACCGCCAGCUAAGGUCCCAAAGUCAUGGUUAAGUGGGAAACGAUGUGGGAAGGCCCAGACAGCCAGGAUGUUGGCUUAGAAGCAGCCAUCAUUUAAAGAAAGCGUAAUAGCUCACUGGUCGAGUCGGCCUGCGCGGAAGAUGUAACGGGGCUAAACCAUGCACCGAAGCUGCGGCAGCGACGCUGAUGCGUUGUUGGGUAGGGGAGCGUUCUGUAAGCCUGCGAAGGUGUGCUGUGAGGCAUGCUGGAGGUAUCAGAAGUGCGAAUGCUGACAUAAGUAACGAUAAAGCGGGUGAAAAGCCCGCUCGCCGGAAGACCAAGGGUUCCUGUCCAACGUUAAUCGGGGCAGGGUGAGUCGACCCCUAAGGCGAGGCCGAAAGGCGUAGUCGAUGGGAAACAGGUUAAUAUUCCUGUACUUGGUGUUACUGCGAAGGGGGGACGGAGAAGGCUAUGUUGGCCGGGCGACGGUUGUCCCGGUUUAAGCGUGUAGGCUGGUUUUCCAGGCAAAUCCGGAAAAUCAAGGCUGAGGCGUGAUGACGAGGCACUACGGUGCUGAAGCAACAAAUGCCCUGCUUCCAGGAAAAGCCUCUAAGCAUCAGGUAACAUCAAAUCGUACCCCAAACCGACACAGGUGGUCAGGUAGAGAAUACCAAGGCGCUUGAGAGAACUCGGGUGAAGGAACUAGGCAAAAUGGUGCCGUAACUUCGGGAGAAGGCACGCUGAUAUGUAGGUGAAGUCCCUCGCGGAUGGAGCUGAAAUCAGUCGAAGAUACCAGCUGGCUGCAACUGUUUAUUAAAAACACAGCACUGUGCAAACACGAAAGUGGACGUAUACGGUGUGACGCCUGCCCGGUGCCGGAAGGUUAAUUGAUGGGGUUAGCCGCAAGGCGAAGCUCUUGAUCGAAGCCCCGGUAAACGGCGGCCGUAACUAUAACGGUCCUAAGGUAGCGAAAUUCCUUGUCGGGUAAGUUCCGACCUGCACGAAUGGCGUAAUGAUGGCCAGGCUGUCUCCACCCGAGACUCAGUGAAAUUGAACUCGCUGUGAAGAUGCAGUGUACCCGCGGCAAGACGGAAAGACCCCGUGAACCUUUACUAUAGCUUGACACUGAACAUUGAGCCUUGAUGUGUAGGAUAGGUGGGAGGCUUUGAAGUGUGGACGCCAGUCUGCAUGGAGCCGACCUUGAAAUACCACCCUUUAAUGUUUGAUGUUCUAACGUUGACCCGUAAUCCGGGUUGCGGACAGUGUCUGGUGGGUAGUUUGACUGGGGCGGUCUCCUCCUAAAGAGUAACGGAGGAGCACGAAGGUUGGCUAAUCCUGGUCGGACAUCAGGAGGUUAGUGCAAUGGCAUAAGCCAGCUUGACUGCGAGCGUGACGGCGCGAGCAGGUGCGAAAGCAGGUCAUAGUGAUCCGGUGGUUCUGAAUGGAAGGGCCAUCGCUCAACGGAUAAAAGGUACUCCGGGGAUAACAGGCUGAUACCGCCCAAGAGUUCAUAUCGACGGCGGUGUUUGGCACCUCGAUGUCGGCUCAUCACAUCCUGGGGCUGAAGUAGGUCCCAAGGGUAUGGCUGUUCGCCAUUUAAAGUGGUACGCGAGCUGGGUUUAGAACGUCGUGAGACAGUUCGGUCCCUAUCUGCCGUGGGCGCUGGAGAACUGAGGGGGGCUGCUCCUAGUACGAGAGGACCGGAGUGGACGCAUCACUGGUGUUCGGGUUGUCAUGCCAAUGGCACUGCCCGGUAGCUAAAUGCGGAAGAGAUAAGUGCUGAAAGCAUCUAAGCACGAAACUUGCC